GGGAGGCCGGGAGGGGUCCCUGGGCGGGGAGUUGCUGCGCAUCUGUUGUGUGUGUGCGUCUGUCUGUCUGUUCAGGUCUGUUUCAGACUACGUCUGCCUGUCUGUCCAGGUCUGUUUUAGGCUGUGUCUGUCUGUCUGUCUGGGUCUGUUUCAGGCUGUGUCUGUCUGUCUGUCCGGGUCUGUUUCAGGCUGUGUCUGGGUCUGUUUCAGGCUGUGUCUGUCUGUCUGUCCGGGUCUGUUUCAGGCUGUGUCUGUCUGUCUGUCUGGGUCUGUUUCAGGCUGUGUCUGUCUGUCUGUUUGUCUGGGUCUGUUUCAGGCUGUGUCUGUCUGUCCGGGUCUGUUUCAGGCUGUAUGUGUGUCUGCUCUUUGCUUCUGCUCCUGGCUCUGUGUGUAUUUCCCGGGUCCUGUGG
rnacentral:lncRNA from 1 species